rnacentral:rRNA from 1 species
AGUGAACGCUGGCGGUAGGCCUAACACAUGCAAGUCGAACGGCAGCACAGUAAGAGCUUGCUCUUACGGGUGGCGAGUGGCGGACGGGUGAGGAAUACAUCGGAAUCUACUUUUUCGUGGGGGAUAACGUAGGGAAACUUACGCUAAUACCGCAUACGACCUACGGGUGAAAGCAGGGGAUCUUCGGACCUUGCGCGAUUGAAUGAGCCGAUGUCGGAUUAGCUAGUUGGCGGGGUAAAGGCCCACCAAGGCGACGAUCCGUAGCUGGUCUGAGAGGAUGAUCAGCCACACUGGAACUGAGACACGGUCCAGACUCCUACGGGAGGCAGCAGUGGGGAAUAUUGGACAGUGGGCGCAAGCCUGAUCCAGCCAUACCGCGUGGGUGAAGAAGGCCUUCGGGUUGUAAAGCCCUUUUGUUGGGAAAGAAAAGCAGCAGGUUAAUACCCCGCUGUUCUGACGGUACACAAAGAAUAAGCACCGGCUAACUUCGU